AGACGGAAGUGGAGCGAGGACAAAAUGGCUGCGAAGGUUGUUGCUCCCCUCCCCCACCCACGUCCGAAUCCUCCUUUCCAUGCCCCACCUUCGUGUUCCAGACGGGCCUCUAAGUGCCCCGGGUUUCGCGAAUCUGUAUUUCAUAGCGUGGCUUUGGACAAGGGCUGACCCCGAGGGGCUGGGGCGAAGGUUCCGGCUUCAGGGUGCCACUAGGGCUGCUCGCUCACGGCCCCCCAGGAUUGGGAUUGGAGGGAGCCGCCAGGCCGCCGCGGGGUGGGGCGGGUUAGCUCGGCAGGCCUCCCAGCACCUGCAUUUCCCUACGGCAACUGUCGGGAGGCAGCCCCCGACGCAGAGGUUUAAGGGGCCCGGCUUUUCAGAACCGCCUCAGGACGCGGUCGUGUCUGGAUCCCUCCGCGGAAAAGAAGGCGAAACCGCUUCUCUGAGCCCUGACCGUUAGGCCCCUUCCCACCUCCGUCUAGAACAGAUUCGGCUUCUUGGCUCAGUCCUUCCCCAACUAGCCCAAGCCCUACAUUUCCCCGUUGUUUAUAAAAUAAACAGGUUUAAAUGGUGGCGAGUGUGUUCUUGGUUAGGUGAACCAGGCAUUAGGAAUCAUAGGUUCCAGUAGCCGUGCGUCCUUGAUUUAGACUUUCUGAACGUUUGUAUUUUCAGUAACAUGAGGUGAUAUCUUUCCUGGUUUGACUUUCAUCAAAAAUUAAACGACAGACCAUACCGACGCUUUGAAAACGUGACUGAGCUGGUGCACAAAACAAUGGUGCCUAGAAUUUUGAAUUGUGCAAUGUUGUGCAUGGCCGCGGAUAUGUGGGGCCUUGUGGUUCCAAGAGCCUGUCUCAGGUACCUUGAACACUCCCUAAUGUCUUAACAUUGAUCUACAAUGCAAAAACAAACAGAAAAAUGAAACUAAAACCUCUUUGGAUGCUUACACUGUACAGUUACUCGCACCACACAGCUUUCCUUCCCAGCUUCGUUGCCUGCUGUGCACUGGUACAGUCCAGAGUAGGACAUGGUAAGAUUCUGCAGCAGAACUCGUCCAGGGUGGUUGUAGUCUGCACAAGCAGAAAGAAUGACUGUAAAUCCCUUUAGUGAUGGUAUCUAUAUUUAUUGUUUACUUUAUUGUAUCACUGAGCUGAGAUUCCGUAAUGCUAUUUGAUAAGAAUGAAAUGAUGGAAAAGAUAUCCUUUGGGAACAUGAGAAGAAAGGUAAACAUUUUUUUUAAGUUGUAGCACAUCCUCAAAAGUUACAAAAGAUUGUGAACAUUUAAGGGAUACUAAACAUAAUAUUUAGAUAUAGUGGAUUUAUGUAGUACAUUUCUUCCAAUCUCUUUUACUACUUUUACAUGUCAUUUGAGGAAAGGAAAGACAGAUUUUCUGUUCUAGUUAAUGGAUUUUAAAAAUGGCAGUUCAGGAGGUUCAGCAGGGUAUUUCAGGUCACAUAGUGAGUUGCUGAGAAAGCUGAUUUAGAGCUCACGGAUAGAGGACUAUUUUGUUGGCUCAAUAGAUUGGUAGGAAGAUGACUUACCAAUCCUAGAUUUGGGAGGCAGACGUUCAUCCUCUCCCUCUUUCUCUCGGAUUCGCUGCCAGUAAUACACAAUGGGCUCUGUGCCAGAGGAUGACUCACACUGCAAAGUCAGGUCACUUCCUUCUGUCAGCUCUCCUUCCAACUCACACUUGGGCUUGGAUGGUCUCACUGGCAACAGCAACAACAAGCAAAAGUGUAGUGAUUCAAAGAUCCCCAAACACCAGAUUCAAUGGAAAAAUUAUGUCCUAUUGAGUUGCUUCUCCAGCCAUCUGUUUUGGUCAACUUUUGAGUGGGGAUUCAACUAGCCUUGCUUUACACUACCCCCACCAAAACAUCCACCUCCAUCCCCUAAGCACACAUACCCGCAACUCCAGUGGUGCUGUUUUAAUUUUUGGGGCAGAGGCUGCCUCAUUACUUCUCAAAGAAGACACAUUAUUAUUGGACAUUUUAGGAAAGUUGAGCAUGGUUUUACUGAUACAGAAGUGUAUUAAUUUGGAAGCAAUUAAGUAGAACUUGGUAGCUCUUGCUGUCAAAAAACAGAAAUGAAUUUGAAUCAUAUCUGAGAGACUUAAAUAUGAAGAUCCCACUUAAAUAUUAGAGAAUAUGUUUUGUAAUGGACAACUAUGGAAAAUUGCUCUUAUAUUUUCAUUUUUUAUUAUGGCUAUAAUACAGAAGAUACACAUUUCUUUCCAGGGAACUGGACGAGGUGACCUCUGAAUGUGUAAUCCAAAGUACUGAACAUGAUGUUUUGUACCACCGUGAUGCAUAUGGCUAUCCCUCUUAGAUACCUUAGAAAUAAGCUGUAGACAUUCACUUUGGCAUCCUAUCUUACCUAAGACUUUUAAGAUGACAUGGCUCCACACGUAGCGCCCUGAAUUCUUAACCUUACAGGUGUACCGGCCCUCAUCACUGGGCUUCAGAGGUUCAAUCUGCAAGGAGGCAUCUCCUGCCAGGAAAUUGGAAGCAAAGGCCACUCGGCCCUUCUGUUCCUCAGUCAAGUUAUUGUAGACAUGACGACUGGAGUAAGUGAUCACCUGUGGGAUAGACCGAGGCAGAGUCAAGCAGCGUAACUCUCAGCCUGCCUUUCCUGAUGGUGUGAAGAAGAGGAAAGGGAGUACUCCCAGUGGCACAAAGUAGUCAAGCCUGGGGCUGAGAGUCCAAGAGACCUCUGUUCUAAAUAAAAGUUAAAAAUACAGUA